GACGAACGCUGGCGGCGUGCUUAACACAUGCAAGUCGAACGGAAAGGCCCUGCUUUUGUGGGGUGCUCGAGUGGCGAACGGGUGAGUAACACGUGAGUAACCUGCCCUUGAUUUUGGGAUAACUUCAGGAAACUGGGGCUAAUACCGGAUAGGAGCUCCUGCUGCAUGGUGGGGGUUGGAAAGUUUCGGCGGUUGGGGAUGGACUCGCGGCUUAUCAGCUUGUUGGUGGGGUAGUGGCUUACCAAGGCUUUGACGGGUAGCCGGCCUGAGAGGGUGACCGGCCACAUUGGGACUGAGAUACGGCCCAGACCCCUACGGGAGGCAGCAGUGGGGAAUAUUGCACAAUGGGCGGAAGCCUGAUGCAGCAACGCCGCGUGCGGGAUGACGGCCUUCGGGUUGUAAACCGCUUUCGCCUGUGACGAAGCGUGAGUGACGGUAAUGGGUAAAGAAGCACCGGCUAACUACGUG
rnacentral:rRNA from 1 species